AAGCAGCUCAUUCACUCCUUCACAUCAGCAGGGAGAUGAUUAGCCAUUUCCAGGAAAAGGGUUCUUUGUCUUCUGUGUUACUGGGAAGACAAAUGUAGUAACUCAGAUGUCCCCACUAUCCCCAGCCGUCCUGCUGAGCAGUGCCAGUGAGAGAGCAGCUGGGGGACAUCUCGUGGCUGGCCAUGGUCACCCACUGUAACCGUGAGCUGGAAAUGUCUUCCUUCUCUACUACAUGAAGAUGUCUGCAGGCACCGUAACUUGCUUUUUAAUGCAAAUGUUAGCAGAACAGGACCUACUUAACUUCUUUAAGUAUGCUGAACUGGUGAUCAUCUCUUCCUGCACUCUGCUUCUCCUCCCUUUUUAUGUUGUAUAGACAAAGAUUUGCACUGACAAUGAGAAGGAAAUUGAAUUCUGCUGGAUUUCGGCAAAUCAAAGCAGUCACUUCUCAGCCCUGAUAUCUAGGAGUAAAACAGCAAAUAAUUCCAUUAUGAACUGUACGAGCUACAGAUUUAGUGUGCAUGUGUGCAUAAUACAUGUACCUGAUUCUGUUAAGGUGCCAGAAGAUAUUUCUGAAGGAUUUCUAACAUGAAUUUCUGCAAGCAGCAAGCUGUGUUUGCUGUUAUGUCAGUCAUAAUUCUGCUUGACUUUACUGAUGUUCUCGGGUUGGUAUGUUUAAGAUUAAUGAGGCAUUAGCCCUCAAUCAAGGAACUACUUGAGAAUACCCAUUUAAUUUCAGUGAAUUGUGCAGCUGUAUUAAUUAAUAUCAUUUGACCUUUGCAUUUGUGCGGAAAGAUUUCUUUUUCUAUAAGCAAUGUCAUAAAAUUGAAUUGAUAGCUGGAAUAUUGUUCUUUGUAUAGCCCAGCGAUUAAUACAAGUUGCAUCCUGUGUUUGCAUACAGAUUUGAGAAUAUAUUUCUGUCGUAACGAGAGAGAAUUCGGUCUUUUGGGUAAUUUGGAAGGCAAAGGGCCACUCUUAAGCUUUUCUUCUUUUGUUUAGAGCAUGGUGACAUAGAGGUAUUUUGGAAACUGAUAUAAUGCACACAGAAUUCCUCCAGUGUUAAUACCUUAUUGCAUUUAAAAUGUGAUAAAUAUGUGUAUGUCAACGUUUCUGCCUACAUGGAUGUGUGCUUGCAUACGUGGCAUUAUGUGUGCUACGUAGCUAGAGAAAUAAAGUAUUUAAAUACAUGAAGACA
rnacentral:lncRNA from 1 species